GGAGCAUAUGCUAUACUCAUAUUCCAGCUGUGAAAAGAGAUAAGUUGGAUCACAAGUCUCAGGUUGGGAUUUUUCUGGGCUAUGGCAGCAAUGUAAAAGGAUAUAGGGUGUUCAACGUGGAGACAAAGAGUGUAAUAGUUUGCAGAGAUCUGAAAGUGGAUGAAGAAGCUUACUGGGAUUGGGAAAAGGCACAAGUGAAACUUAUGAACAAUAAUCAAAUUCAGAGAGUUGAUUCUCUCAAUCAAGAACUAGCUCAUGAACAAGAAGAUGCAGAUUAUAGAAGUGACACAGAUUCAGAUUUUGCAGUCAGAGGUACCAGGUCUCUAGAAGAAAUUUACGAGAGGUCUA